AAACUUCACCAAAUAAUAGCUGUUUGUAUUUUGGCUGCUGCAGGAGCCAUUUUAGUACCUGAACCACAAGCCACCAUGGACGUGCACACUGAUACCUACUUGGGGAUCAGGAGAGUGUACAUGACAACAGCAAGGGAAGCAGCAGCACAGGAGACAGAAAUAAAUAUCUUCCUUCAAUAGAUGAAAAUGAAAAUACAGAAAAAAGAGAAGCAGCUCAAAGAGUUGUCAGCUGAUAGGCAGACGCUACAUGGAAUGCAGUUC
rnacentral:lncRNA from 1 species